CUUUUUAAAUUUUUUUUUCCUUUAAAAGUUUUAAUCCACCUUGUAACACCACCCAAAAAGAAGCGAAAUUAAGCUGCAGUGUGUACUAGGAGAGAAAACCUACUUUAUUUAUCACCCAGCCCUACUUCACCAUGCACUGACCUAAUUACAGCCCACACCAGGCUGGGUAGGAGGAGCAGCAGAAGGAGCGCUUCUGCCACCUAGUGAUCCCUGUCAAUCCCUUUGUGGAAUUGGCGUUUUCCUGUCCCCAGCGCUCGACAGCAAGCGACCUUCCCCAGCCAGCCUGCCUGGAUGCCGGGUUUAUCUGCACACCGCUCUCUUCUCCUCUUUUACGGCUCCAAAACAUCGCUCACGGAUGAAUUCUGACCUACGGCUGGCAACGCUCAGGAAGGCAGGCCUGGAAAUUUUUCUGGGAGGUACCUGGGUCCCUGUCCAAGAGCUGAUCACCUGGCUCAUGAACCUGGCUGAUGUUAUCACAAACAGGAGAAAGAGAAUAAGCAUCAUUUCAGCAGUAGAAGCAUACAGACAAGCA
rnacentral:lncRNA from 1 species